rnacentral:rRNA from 1 species
CAGAUNCGGCNCGCUACACAUGCAGUCGAACGGAGCGUACCGAGUCGAACCUUUCGGGGGGAGACAUGGUAUUGCUUAGUGGCGAACGGGUGAGUAACACGUGAGUAACCUACCUCCGAGCGGGGGACAACAUUUGGAAACAGAUGCUAAUACCGCAUAAGACCACGAAGCCGCAUGGCUUUGAGGCCAAAGCAUUUAUGCACUUGGAGAUGGACUCGCGUCUGAUUAGCUAGAUGGUGAGGUAAUGGCCCACCAUGGCGACGAUCAGUAGCCGGACUGAGAGGUUGAACGGCCACAUUGGGACUGAGACACGGCCCAGACUCCUACGGGAGGCAGCAGUGGGGAAUAUUGCACAAUGGGCGAAAGCCUGAUGCAGCGACGCCGCGUGAGGGAAGAAGGUUUUCGGAUUGUAAACCUCUGUCUUCGGGGACGAAACAAAUGACGGUACCCGAGGAGGAAGCCACGGCUAACUACGUGCCAGCAGCCGCGGUAAAACGUAGGUGGCAAGCGUUGUCCGGAAUUACUGGGUGUAAAGGGAGCGCAGGCGGGAUGGCAAGUUGAAUGUGAAAACUAUGGGCUCAACCCAUAGACUGCGUUCAAAACUGCUGUUCUUGAGUGAUGGAGAGGCAGGCGGAAUUCCCGGUGUAGCGGUGGAAUGCGUAGAUAUCGGGAGGAACACCAGUGGCGAAGGCGGCCUGCUGGACAUUAACUGACGCUGAGGCUCGAAAGUGUGGGGAGCAAACAGGAUUAGAUACCCUGGUAGUCCACACUGUAAACGAUGAUUACUAGGUGUGGGGGGAUAGACCCCCUCCGUGCCGCAGCUAACGCAAUAAGUAAUCCACCUGGGGAGUACGGUCGCAAGACUGAAACUCAAAGGAAUUGACGGGGGCCCGCACAGCAGUGAGUAUGUGGUUUAUUCGACGCAACGCGAAGAACCUUACCAGGU